AUAUAUAUAACAUUUAACCACUAAACUCAACCAACAAUUACAUUACUAUAAAAAAUAAAUCUAAAUAAUAGUAGAAAACAUUCUAUAAACUAAUCAAUGCUAAUAAUAUCCGUGGAUAAUAAAUUGUAAUUUUAAGAUCUCAAUGCAGCUACAAUUAUAUUAUUAUAAAAAAAACAAAUCUAAAUAAUAGUAGAACACAUACUACUACCUAAUCAAUGCUAACAAUACAAGUUGGUAAUAAAAAGUAAAUGAAUUGUAAUUUCAAUAUCUCAAUACAGUAGCAACUAUCUUACUAAAACAAAACAAAUCUCUAUAAUAGUAGAAUACAUACUACUAACUAAUUAAUCCUAACAAUAUCAGUAGAUAAUAAAAAGCAAAUGAGUUGUAAUUUCAAGAUCUCAAUAUAACAGCAAUGCACAACUUAAUAUGCACAAACGUUAUCAAAACUUAAAUGACAAAAAUGAAGCAAUACGAAAUUGAAUGCGACAAACAAACUUAGAUUCUAACAUCAACACAAACUUAGAUUCUAACAUCAACACAGAAAGCACAAUCUAGAAUGUAAAAACCGAUCAUGAUGGAUCUAAAACUCGGAAUUGAAUCACAACAUAAUCAAAAACUAAGUCAAGCUAGCAAACAAACGUAAAUCUACAAACAUAACCAAAUCUAAAUGAUACACAACUCAAACAGGACGAAAUUCAAACAGAAAAAUACCGAACACUACCUGAGUGAAACCGUCAUCGAAAGCUGCUAGUUAUUGUUGUUGUAUUGAAAUCUCCUUCAUUGUCAAGCCUGAAUCUCUUCCUGAUAAAACAUGACUGAGUUGAUUCAAAUGAUACUUGAUGCCUUUAUGUUACUAACCGUGGUAGUGAAAUCGUGUUGCUUCAACGCGUGCGGUCAUAUGAAGCAUGGUCGUUGUGUUAUGUGUGUCUAAGGUUUGUCGGACAUGGUGUUGGUUCAUGUAUGACGGAUCCAGUUGGAUUUCACUGUGUGGUUGUGUUGCGUUCAAAUUUUGUAUAUUUUUUUUUUGUGAUGAGGUUCGAAAACGAAUGUUGAGUUAGGUUACUUGAUGGUGAUGGUUUGUUUUUAUGGAGAAAAGAGUGGACCGAAGGAGUAUGUUGUAGUGCACAGCGGUGAUGAGCGGUUUGAUAAACGUUGUAGUUUAAGUCACGGUGGUUGAGAUGUGUACCGGAGAUUUUUUUGAAAUAUGGAUCAAUGGGUUCAAAUCGUGUGAAGUGGAGGUGGAGAUGUCGUGAGUUGAAGGAGGGGUUCGUUUAUGUUGAAAACGCUGGCGGGUGAGAGGGGUGAAUAUGGUAGAUGAACAAUGAGGGGUCUUUUUGUUGAAGAAGAGUAUAGUGGUCCUCUACAGAAAAUGAGAGAGGUAUCAAAAUGAUUUUUUUCUUCCAGCUUUUUUCCUUCUUU
rnacentral:lncRNA from 1 species